UGUCGCUAUAAGUGCAUGAAAAUGAUAGUUAACGGAAGUAAGAUUUGUCGACUCAUGCAAAAAGUGUAAAUGUCCAGUUUCUUCAAUAUUAACACUUAAAUUUGAUUGGAAAGGAAGAAUUGUUAAAUAAAAAUGCUGGAAAUAGAUGAUAUUUUAAUAAAUAAGAAAUUAAUGCAUGGAGUAGAAGCGUAGUGAGGCCAAUACAGCUCUAUAUUGGUAAAGAAGAGUCAUAUGCGUGUAGGAACAUAUAAAAAUCCAUCAACAUUUCAAGGAGAAAUGAUGCAGACCGUGGAGCAACUUUAUUUUCAGUGUACUUUGGGUCACGUGCUUUUUUACAUACUAAUUUUUAUAAAGAAAAAUUAAAAUAACUUUUUUUAUAAAGUUUAAGUAUUGAUAAACAAUGCAUAGAAUGUUUUUAUAUUCAUUUCUAUUGUUAUCCCUUCUAAAAUCAGUUUUUCUUUUCGCGCAUUUUUGGCGCUGCUGGACGUCUGUAACCCCUCAAUUCGCCUUGAAUAUCCUGUAUUGUCCUCCAGUUUUCCAAAAUAAAUCAAAUUUAGCCAAUGAAUAUGGCUGCAAAAUCUUUAUGUAUGUGCUUAUACAUACCCCAUGAUCAAAAAGUACGGGGAAGGUAAUAUUGACUGUUUUCUUCGAUUGCUAAGGCGUAGUGCACCAUUACUACCUUCUAUCGGGCCAGACAGUCAACAAAGACUAUUUUUUAUCCGUUUUAAAGCGUUUGAGAGAUGCUGUACUUCGCAAACGGCCGGAAAUGAGGGCAAACAAUUCUGGGAUUUUGCAUGGUGAUAAAGUGCCAUCGCACCGAGCUCCUGGAUUAUUUGACCAAACACCAAGUAAAUACCUUCGUGCAAGCACUGUGUUCACCUGAUAUGGCCCCGUGGGACUUCUUUUUGUUUCCCUAGUUGAAGUUACCACUUCGUGGUAGGAGAUUUCAGUCGAUAGAGGAGAUCAAAGAGAAUGCGACGAAGGAGCUGAAGGCCAUCUCUUCGUCGGCCUACCAGGGGUGCGUGGAGGGCUGGGUUAAACGUUGGCACUUGUGUGUUGCUUCAGACGGGUCGUAUUUUGUAGGAGAUAAAAUAAAUUUGCCUGAAAUUUAACUCUGUUUUGUUUUAUUUAAACAUUGUAUACAUAUUAUCUUUUUUGUUAAUUUUCAAACGAUCCACUUUAUUAAUCAGCAAUGUUUGCAACAUAUAAAUGUCUUCAUGAUUAUUAGUACUGUUCUACUACUACAUGCAGUUAUGCAACUAAAUACUUUUUUCAUAGUUUAGCUUAGUAAAACGCUGAGUAUGUUUUUAAUACAUAUUAAAAUGUACUUAUACAUAGUUAUUGUACGCUUAACAACACAUUCGAGUGUCCUUUCAUUUUUUUACGUAAAGAAGCUCAAAAAGUAGAAAGUAAAACUUCAGUUGUAGGAAAGGUGGGUAGGGUAUUAGGAGAAUACGUGGUAAGAGAUUUAUGAAUCAAGCGAAAAUUUAAAAAUUAGUGCAAAGAGGAGUGAGGAUAUGGAGGAAAAAAUCAAAGCAAGUUAGUUAAGAAAUAUUAAGGGAUGAAAAAAAAUUGUGGAAUUUGAUAAAUGAAAAAUGAAAUGAAAAAUGUAACCAAUAAUAACCAAAAAAUGUAAUCACCACUGUGAUUUUUCAAAAAAAAUCGAUUUGUUUUUUGCUUUUUCUUAACACGUUCGCGGACGUGAAUGCCACAGCAUUUAAAUUUUAAAGCCAAGUUUUGUUAAUUAAAUUUCAUGUAACUCUAAGUUUUUGUAAUUAAUAUACAUUUCAAAACAAUGACCACUUGAUUCAUUAAGUACUUUCAUAUAACAGUUAAAAUUCGAUGUUCUGACUACUCUUAUAAUAUAUGUACUCGUAUAAUCAGACUUUGGAUAUUACAACUAGUUUCAAAAAUAAUUGUCUGUCUAUUUUUGCAGCUCCCUGAAAUUUUUAGUGUCCGCGAACGUGUUAAAGUAGAUAUAUUCAAAAAUAUGUAACAAAAAUGUUAACUUAAAAUCUCGAAGUUAUACCCAAUACAACAAGUGCAGGUAGUGAGUUACAACGGCCAAUGAAAGCUUUAAACGCGUUUUUCUCAAACCGACUUUACUGAACAGGGUGGCCUCGAUCUCUCGAAGAACCGAUGGUUUUUUUUUUUAAUUUUUGUACAUGUAUUGGCAACAGUCGUACAUAGCCGUUUUUAAUAAUUCCAAAAAUUUAUAUUUUUUCAAGUCUUUUGAAAACAAAAAAAGGGUAGAAGCACAAACUCUUUUUUCAAACCUGCAUCAUUUUCUCAAAAAAAAAAAAAAAAAAUAAUAAUAAUAAAUAAAAAAAACCGCCACGUACGACGAUAGCCAUUGAUUUAUAGAGUAAGAACUCUUUUGGUUUUUUGCUUUCAGAAGUUUUUUCACCGCUGCGUCGUGGCCACCAGGGUGCAUCAGUUUUUUCUGAUGUCAUUGCAUUAAUAUUAAUAACAAUUGUAAUUUCUAUAUUUUUUAAUACAAAUUUGUGUCAGUAUAGUUGAAUAUAUGUUAAAUAAAUUAUAAUUUGUCCGAUCCUCAAAUAAGCAUCUCUAAUUUAA